UGAGCAACCUGCCCUUGACCCUGGAAUAACAGCUGGAAACAGCUGCUAAUACCGGAUACGACCUCCGACGGCAUCAUCUGGAGGUGGAAAGCUCCGACGGUCAAGGAUGGGCUCGCGGCCUAUCAGCUUGUUGGUGAGGUAACGGCUCACCAAGGCUUCGGACGGGUAGCCGGCCUGGAGGAGGGCGACCGGCCACACGUGGGACUGAGAUACCGGCCCAGACCUCCGUACGGGAGCAG
rnacentral:rRNA from 1 species